CUGGCGCACGAUUGGACGAUGGAAAUUUGAAUUUUGAACUCGCAGAAGCGUAUGUACGACCCACUGAUCUCGAUUGUAAAAGGCUGGAUCGCGGAUAGGGAGCGCGAGCGUGAAGAAACCGGCCGCCAUCUUACUGUACCCACAACAGUCGCCGCAGCGAUCAUGUCAACUUCUUGCAAUUACGGUCGUACCAACCGUACUGGCAAGGAUACAGGGCCUAAAUUUAUACAGGUGAGUCACUCUUCAUCAAGGAAUAAAUAGGCGUCCAUUCUGUAUAUUUAGUUGACCAUUAUGAAGUGCUUUUUGCCCAAAACGAGCACUGGAUGCAGGUUGCUUGAUCGCUCUUCCGACGUUCAAUCGAGCACACUUGCAUUUUACCCGGAGGCAAAUACAUUUUGAGUGCAUAAUAUGCUUGAGAGAACGUGUUACACUACACUGGUAGUGUUGUCAUCAAUAUAUGUGCGAACACUCGAGAGCUUUUCUGCAUGCAUUGCUAGCAUGGUACACGGUGCUCUCUACGGAAGCAAGUGCACAUUCAUUUCUUUGAAUUACCUUUGCGCACAAGUUCGGUAUUACGUCAUAAUGAGACCAAGAUUGUCACAAUUUUUCAUGUAUUGGUAUUGUUUUGUGCCUUGGUUUGAUUUGUGACAAAGAAUCCUACGUAACGGCGUGUAGCACGACUUGAAUAACGCCUUUGUGUCUGAGCUGUAUCGUCAGCUUACCAGGGUCAAGUACCAGGGUAAUGUAAAAAAAUACAUCUCAACAACAACAAAAAUUAAGCUAAAUACUAGAAGAAAGACGACAACAAAAAAAGAAAAUGUAAUUGCAGAGGCUGAUGCAAUGUGAAGACGCCACGGCAAUUCAAACUUCAAACGGCGAGAGGAGAGAGCGAGCGACGGAGCGAGAGUGGCAGGUGUGGCAGUUGGAAGUUAGAACGGUUAGAACUUCGACGCGUCGCAGCAAGUUGGUUUUCUCUUCAGUAACCGUCGCAAGGAUGGUGAUGGUGUAUCUCCUGUGCAGUAUUUACGUGUGUUUCAGUGCGCUUUGUAAGACAAUGCGAUGACAAUGGUUCCUGUGCAACACAUUGUCGAUUUCCCGGAAGCGUUUUGACGCCAAGAAGACGUAAACGGCGUAGAGGCAAGACCGCACUGUGAAACGCCAAUCGGACUGCACGUCGCGAAUGUUUGCAGAAACUUCGGAGGAACUUGAAGAGAAACAGGAUAAGAAGAUUCCGAACGUACGGUGAAGAGGAAUGGGGUGUAUGUCGCGACCUGCAUAGAAAACAGGAGUGUCGUGUCAUCUUCUCUAAGAAAAUACAAGAUGUGAGGUGGCCAACGAACGAAAGCUCCCUGUGGUCCGUGAGUGCAUCGCACAGUCAGGCAUAUGCUUUGUCUAGACACAGUGAGUGAUCAGACUUAUACUGCGUGGGAUGUAAAUGUAGAGAUGUAUUGAUUAUUUCUUUCUGCUCAGUGUAUGCUUUUAGCAGAAUAAACGGUAAUUACUUGA